rnacentral:misc_RNA from 1 species
AUAACUCCUUUUUUUUGUUUGGCCCUGUUGUUGUGUUGUUAUUAUUGUUUCUCCCCUCUUUACUUCUCUCUUAUCUGCCUCCUUUUGCUCCUUUUCUUGGUUUCUUUCAACUUUUUUGUCUCUUUAUUUCUCCAAGAUCUGAUCUUUUUAUGUGAAAGGAUUAGUUUGAUUCAUCUGUGAUCUGAUAUGUCUAAGAAGAUGAAAAGGGGUGCUUUGGAAUCAUCAUCUUAUGGUGUUUUUGAAGACACAAAGGAUAGGUUGAAACAUCAAACACUUCUGCAGGACUAUCAAGAGCUCCAGAAGGAAACUGAUGCCGCAAGGCACAAGCUGGAGGAUUCAAAGCUGAGGAAACUAAGAUUACAAGCUGAAGUUCGUUUCUUACGCCAGAGGCACAAGCAUCUAUUGCAAUCGAAGUCCUUAACAACUCCAAAAGGGAAAGAGCUAGUAUCCCUACCAAAUGUUGAAACUUACCCCAGGAGUAGGUCAAGGGAUCAAGUUACGAGAAAAAAGGAAGCCAAGCUAAACAAACUGCCCCCUCUUCCUGGCCCUAAACCAAACGGAAGGAUACAGGUUGCAAAGGUAGUUGCUUCGCAGAACAUACCCGAUAUUCA